UGAGCACGUAGGGGGGUUUGUAAGUCAGAUGUGAAAGCCUUCUGUUCAACGGGAGAAUUGCAUCUGAAACUGCUAAUCUUGAGUGUAGGAGGGGAGAAUGGAACUUCUGGUGGAGCGGUGAAAUGCGUAGAUAUCAGAAGGAACGCCGGCGGCGAAAGCGAUUCUCUGGCCUAUUACUGACACUCAGUGUGCGAAAGCUAGGGGAGCAAACGGGAUAGAUACCCCGAGCAGCAGU
rnacentral:rRNA from 1 species